rnacentral:rRNA from 1 species
AUUGAACGCUGGCGGCAGGCCUAACACAUGCAAGUCGAACGGUAACAGGAAGCAGCUUGCUGCUUUGCUGACGAGUGGCGGACGGGUGAGUAAUGUCUGGGAAACUGCCCGAUGGAGGGGGAUAACUACUGGAAACGGUAGCUAAUACCGCAUAACGUCGCAAGACCAAAGAGGGGGACCUUAGGGCCUCUUGCCAUCGGAUGUGCCCAGAUGGAAUUAGCUAGUAGGUGGGGUAACGGCUCACCUAGGCGACGAUCCCUAGCUGGUCUGAGAGGAUGACCAGCCACACUGGAACUGAGACACGGUCCAGACUCCUACGGGAGGCAGCAGUGGGGAAUAUUGCACAAUGGGCGCAAGCCUGAUGCAGCCAUGCCGCGUGUAUGAAGAAGGCCUUCGGGUUGUAAAGUACUUUCAGCGGGGAGGAAGGGAGUAAAGUUAAUACCUUUGCUCAUUGACGUUACCCGCAGAAGAAGCACCGGCUAACUCCGUG